rnacentral:rRNA from 1 species
CGGGCGUUAAGUUGCAGGGUAUAGACCCGAAACCCGGUGAUCUAGCCAUGGGCAGGUUGAAGGUUGGGUAACACUAACUGGAGGACCGAACCGACUAAUGUUGAAAAAUUAGCGGAUGACCUGUGGCUGGGGGUGAAAGGCCAAUCAAACCGGGAGAUAGCUGGUUCUCCCCGAAAGCUAUUUAGGUAGCGCCUCGUGAAUUCAUCUCCGGGGGUAGAGCACUGUUUCGGCUAGGGGGCCAUCCCGGCUUACCAACCCGAUGCAAACUGCGAAUACCGGAGAAUGUUAUCACGGGAGACACACGGCGGGUGCUAACGUCCGUCGUGAAGAGGGAAACAACCCAGACCGCCAGCUAAGGUCCCAAAGUCAUGGUUAAGUGGGAAACGAUGUGGGAAGGCCCAGACAGCCAGGAUGUUGGCUUAGAAGCAGCCAUCAUUUAAAGAAAGCGUAAUAGCUCACUGGUCGAGUCGGCCUGCGCGGAAGAUGUAACGGGGCUAAACCAUGCACCGAAGCUGCGGCAGCGAACGUAUCACUUAAAGCGAUUCAGCGGGUUACGAUUGACGGAGCGAAGCGACGUCAAAGCGUAUACAAAGUCGAGUCGGUUUAAGGAUACGUUCGUUGGGUAGGGGAGCGUUCUGUAAGCCUGUGAAGGUGUGUCGUGAGGC